UGAAACCAGAGAUUAAAUGGUCCAAAGCAGGAAAUUUGGUGUGUUGGGAAUUAGGACAAAGUAAUGAGGGGGAUGAGCUAUUUCAGCCUUCCUUCUUAUUUAUUUAUUUGUUUUUAAAGAGACUGCAAAAAGAGAGACUUUGGGAGUCUGGAAACUGACUGGAAGAUGGGUGGACUUGGAAAGUGGGAGCGUUAUCACAAUGCCAUCCUGCACUGACUCUGGGGACCCCAGCAUCCACCAUGAUACCUUUGGGUUUUCAUUGUUCUGAUUCUGAAAGACAUCCUGAUCAGAACAGUCCAUUGAGAGGGAACUGAUGACAUUGCCACCUUCAGGUCAAUCCACAACACCAUCUGGAAUGUGAUACUUGCAUUCCUCCUUUUGUGUCCUUUUCCUUCCACACCUUAUUUCUUCUCUCUUUUUUGGGGGGCGGGGGGGGCUUCUGUUUAAUAAGAAUCUGCAGUCUGCCAAGACUUUUGCAACAUGCUGCAAGCCCAUGACCAGAGAGUCAGCUAAAAGCAAUGCCCUGAACAGCCCCAUGCUGACACAAGUUUUCCAGGACUUGGAGUGGCUGAUCAGACCAGUAUUUGCUGUGCCAGUAUUUCUCCAAUAGCGAGGUUGCAAGUGAAAGCAAGCACCAGAGACAGAAGGUAUAAGUUCUAAUCUUUGCUUUUUUUUUUUGGUCCGUCUUAACUCCAGAUCAUAGAAAUGUAGGACUGAAAGGGACCUCAAUAGGUCUUCUAGUCUAGUGCCCUGCACUAAAGGCAGGACUAAGUAUUAUCUAGACCAUCCCUGACAGGUGUUUGUCUAACC